CGCGGCCUAUCAGCUUGUUGGUGAGGUAAUGGCUCACCAAGGCUUCGACGGGUAGCCGGCCUGAGAGGGCGACCGGCCACACUGGGACUGAGAUACGGCCCAGACUCCUACGGGAGGCAGCAGUGGGGAAUAUUGCACAAUGGGCGCAAGCCUGAUGCAGCAACGCCGCGUGCGGGAUGACGGCCUUCGGGUUGUAAACCGCUUUCAGUAGGGACGAAGCUAACGUGACGGUACCUACAGAAGAAGGACCGGCUAACUACGAGCCAGCAGCCGCGGUGAUACGUAGGGUCCGAGCGUUGUCCGGAAUUAUUGGGCGUAAAGGGCUUGUAGGCGGUCCGUCGCGUCAGGAGUGAAAACUCGGGGCUUAACCCCGAGCCUGCUUUUGAUACGGGCGGACUAGAGGGAUGCAGGGGAGAACGGAAUUCCUGGUGGAGCGGUGGAAUGCGCAGAUAUCAGGAGGAACACCGGUGGCGAAGGCGGUUCUCUGGGCAUCACCUGACGCUGAGAAGCGAAAGCGUGGGGAGCAAACAGGCUUAGAUACCCUGGUAGUCCACGCCGUAAACGGUGGGCACUAGGUGUGGGGGACAUUCCACGUUCUCCGUGCCGAAGCUAACGCAUUAAGUGCCCCGCCUGGGGAGUACGG
rnacentral:rRNA from 1 species